rnacentral:misc_RNA from 1 species
GGAGAGAGAGAGAGAUCCUCUCGUGUCCGGGUGUUCUCUCGUGAUCCGUGCGAAAAACGGAUUACGCGCGGCAUUCGGCAAUGAGGCAACAACAGCCGGUGGACGUAUCGCCGCGGUGUCGGUGUUGAGACACUCGUCCCGGUCGUCCAGCCCGGGCGUGUCUUCGGCAUCAAGUCCACAUCGACACCGACAGGCGAUAUGAGUACGAAAUUCAUAAUUGAUAGUAUGCUACCUGCUAAGUACCAACAAUUUCACCCUCAACAGUUGUUCUCAAGCGCGACUCCAGGUACCAUUCAGGCGUGCACGACGAGUCCGGCCACCGCGAGCCUAGAAUCGAGUUUAUCCGCGGCUGCAGUCGCGGCCGCGGCAGUCAAUUACGCACAGCAGCACAAUUCACCGAGCCCGACGGGUUCGAGUCCUCAGCACUCGGGAAGCUCUGCUUCGACAUCACCGGCGGCACGUACCACAUCCAGCAUGUAUCCAUACGUGUCCGCUGCAGCGGCGCAUCAUCAUCAUCAGCAGCAGCAAGCGGUCGCGGCCGCCGCAUUCGGUGCGACGUCAAGUAUGGUCCCCGGUUUUGGAUCCACCGCGGCAUCCAGCGCUGCUCUCGCCGCCGCCGCUGCCGUCGAUGCCGCGACCGCCGGCGACAAAUCCUGCCGUUAUACAGCUAGUCUGACCGGCAAUGUAGCACCUGCAUCCGCCGACCCUAUGGUUAACUAUACUCUAGGCCACCAUCAUCAGAACGGCGCUACGCCCGGUAGCCUCGUCUCAUCCGCGUCCGCAUCCUCCGCCGUCUCCGCCGCCUCCGCCUCCAUGGCUGCGGCGGCACAGUUCUACCAUCAGGCGGCCGCCGCAUCGGCUGUUGUCGAUCCUUUGACGUCCUGCCAACAACCUACCACAGGUCAACCUGGGAUCUCGGAUAUACCCCGGUAUCCAUGGAUGUCUAUUACCGAUUGGAUGAGUCCAUUUGACAGAGUGGUUUGCGGUCCGAAUGGCUGUCCGAGGCGCAGAGGUCGGCAAACAUACACGCGGUUCCAAACAUUGGAAUUAGAAAAAGAAUUUCACUUUAAUCACUAUCUGACGCGACGACGACGAAUAGAGAUCGCGCAUGCACUCUGCCUGACGGAACGACAGAUCAAGAUCUGGUUCCAGAAUCGGCGAAUGAAACUGAAAAAGGAGUUGAGGGCAGUCAAAGAAAUCAACGAACAAGCCAGACGCGAGCGUGAGGAGCAAGAUAUGAUGAAGAAACAGCAGGCGGAGAAACAGGCCAAGUUACAGCAGGAGCAGCAGAGCGCCGCUCUUCAGCAUCAGCAGCAGCAUCACGAAGACACAAGAGACUGGAGUGGCCUGGACGAAGAUUCCGAAGCGAAGUAGUUGGUAAGGUCGAUCACGUAGAAGAUCCUGAGUUCUCUUCCUCUCAUCUUCGCACGCGAGAAACAGAGGGGAAGAUAGCGAGGAUUUAGGAAGCCUGGAAGAUGCACACAGCGCGAUCUUCUCUGGGCGACCAAAAUAAAGGUACGACGAAUGCCUUGCUGAGUCGGUUCUUUCUUUUGUUUUUUUUUUUUAAGCAAGAAAGAAAAAUAAGUAGAUGUUACGAUAGUAAAAACUAAAAACUCGAAACAUAGAAAAUGAACGCACCCCACCCCAGCUACGUACUUACUUGGCUAGCUCCUGAAGGGCGACAUACGAAACCGUCUCGCACGGAGCUCAGCCUGUGACUGAUUCCUAGAACGUAUAAUGUAUAUUGUUAAUCGGGUGCUACACAAUGAGCCAUCGCGAUUAUCAAGCGAUGAACGUAUGAAUUGGCGCGAUACUGCCAUGAGGAGCCAAUAAUUACAUCGAGGCGGUGAGUAGACUAGUUAAAUGGGCUGAAAUUGAAGGAUUAAUGGUUAUAUGGGCCGACAGGAUUAUUAACGACGACAUUUCGAUUAAUUCAAUCGAAACCUUAAAAAAGGGAAAUAAAUCAAAGCUCUAUAAACAAACCGGCAUCCAAUUGUAAGAAAUCAGUGAACAAAAUAAGAAUUCAGCUAAUCUUCGAUUAAUCACUUACCUUGGAUGUUCGAAUUUUCGUUGAUUAGCUAGUUCUUGUAGGAUGCAUCAUCGUUUUGAAGAAAAAACGAUGACGCGAUUUCGCGAAAAUGAUUUCAUCAUUUUUGACGUUGAAAUGUUUUAUCUUCAACGUCACAUGAAUACUUCCUUCAUACGAUUACUAAGCAAAAUUAGAAAAGGUGUAAAUUCACGACGUUUUCGUUGAAACAACGAAUGUGUUUCUCGCGCGAUUGCGGAUUUCUAAUAACUGCGAUACUUCUUCUAGAUAUCGGUCUACAAUCAUAAGCAGCGGGCGUACACGAUUAUUUUUCCCUACGUCGUUUCUUUCGGUGAAAAAAAUUCAAUAUAUGUACGUACAUUUUCUAAACAAAUUAGCUAAAUAAUACCUAUGCCGAUUUUGCAUAUUAAAAAAAUUUU